GAGAACGGUUUGAAUGUCCUUCGUCAGAUUGUAACGUCUGACCAUCGCUGACGAGCCUUCGCUGUUUUGCUGUCUGAAGAUGGGCAUACACGGCGGCGCUAAAGGUAGAGAUACCCCACCCAGUAGACCACGUUGAACAGGAGGAAGGAGGUGGGGAAAAAGACCCUGGAGUAGGCGUCCAGCUCCAGCAGGUCGAUGCGGACGCGGCCCCUCCGCCACGCGCCGUCCUUGCAGUCGUCGUAGCAACAGAAGAAGGCGCCGCAGUCUUUGCCGUCCAGACAGCGGGAGGCGCACGUGUCGUCCAAGUCCUGCCAAUACGUCGAGAUGUUCAGGGCCACCACCGUGAGGAAACCGGAGUACCCGGAGAAAACCCACGCAGGCACGGGGAGGACAUGCAAAUUCCACACAGGCGAGGCUCGAUUUGAACCCGGGUCCUCAGAACUGUGAGGCAGAUGUGCUAACCAAUCGUCCACCGUGCCACCUAAUACAGUAUGUGGUUUGACUAAAUAUUUUAGUGUUUAAAUACAAAAUGUUUAAUUUUCAUCAAUGCCAGUUUCCAUUAGCUCGUCCGUAUUUCGCAUUGUAUGUAGCAUUAAGCUAGUGGACCUUUUUUUUCCAUACUGUACGUGGUGUUUGAAUAAACAGUGUUUAAAUCUCUUUCGUUGUAUGUGUUGCUGCUCCGUGUGUGUUAAAGUAGCAGUUGUUUGAAUGUUCAUAACCCUACUUUAAAACAAACCCUAGCUAGAAACCCUCAUUUGAAACCCUAACCUGUGUUUGAAACUCUAACCCUGGAACGGAUUAAUAGCAUUUCAAUUCAUUUUAAAGGGCAAAAGUGUUUUGA